CGGGGUGAGUAAUGUAUGGGGAUCUGCCUGAUGGGGGGGGAUAACUACUGGAAACGGUAGCUAAUACCGCAUAAUGUCUGCGGACCAAAGCGGGGGGACCUCCGGGCCUCGCGCCAUCAGAUGAACCCAUAUGGGAUUAGCUUGUAGGUAAGGUAACGGCUUACCUAGGCGACGAUCCCUAGCUGGUCUGAGAGGAUGAUCAGCCACACUGGGACUGAGACACGGCCCAG
rnacentral:rRNA from 1 species